rnacentral:rRNA from 1 species
GACGAACGCUGGCGGCGUGCCUAAUACAUGCAAGUAGAACGCUGAAGGAGGAGCUUGCUUCUCCGGAUGAGUUGCGAACGGGUGAGUAACGCGUAGGUAACCUGCCUGGUAGCGGGGGAUAACUAUUGGAAACGAUAGCUAAUACCGCAUAACAGUAGAUGUUGCAUGACAUUUGCUUAAAAGGUGCAAUUGCAUCACUACCAGAUGGACCUGCGUUGUAUUAGCUAGUUGGUGAGGUAACGGCUCACCAAGGCGACGAUACAUAGCCGACCUGAGAGGGGGAUCGGCCACACUGGGACUGAGACACGGCCCAGACUCCUCCGGGAGGCAGCAGUAGGGAAUCUUCGGCAAUGGACGGAAGUCUGACCGAGCAACGCCGCGUGAGUGAAGAAGGUUUUCGGAUCGUAAAGCUCUGUUGUAAGAGAAGAACGAGUGUGAGAGUGGAAAGUUCACACUGUGACGGUAUCUUACCAGAAAGGGACGGCUAACUACGUG